AAAAGACUUAGUCCUAACCUUACCGUUAAUUCUCGCUCAACAUAUACAUGCAAGUAUCCGCACCCCAGUGCAAACGCCCUAAAACCCCUUGCCAAGGCACUAGGAGCAGGUAUCAGGCACACUUCUGUGGCCCAAGACGCCACGCCCCGCCACACCCCCACGGGUACUCAGCAGUAAUUAACAUUAAGCAAUAGGCGUAAGCCUGACUUAGCUAGAGCGAUCAGGGUUGGUAAAUCUUGUGCCAGCCACCGCGGUCAUACAAGAAACCCAAAUUAACCGUACGCGGCGUAAAGAGUGGCCUCAGACUAUUAAAGCAGAUUAAGACUAAACUCCAACCUAAGCCGUCACAAGCCCAAGGUCCCCGAAGCCCAACCUAAAAACGAUCUUAACACCAACGACCCAUCCCACCCCACGAAAGCCAGGGCACAAACUGGGAUUAGAUACCCCACUAUGCCUGGCCCUAAAUCUUGAUGUUUCCCAAACACAAACAUCCGCCCGAGAACUACGAGCAC
rnacentral:rRNA from 1 species